rnacentral:lncRNA from 1 species
AAAUGAUUGAUAUAGAUAGUUAUAUAACAUCAAUUCAUAUAUCUUGGAUUAAAAUGUUAACAACAGAAGAAUUUUCAAAUUUGAAGGUUAUACCUUUAUAUUACUUUAACAAAUUUGGAGCUAACUUCGCUCUAUUUAACAUGAACACUGAAAAUAUAUAUGACAUACCAAAUUUAAAAAAAAAACUAUGCCAGAAUUUUAUUUAGAAAUAAUAAAAAGUUGGUAUAAAGUACAUAAUAGUUCCAAGAUAAGCAAGGGGUUAAAUUUCAAAAGUGUAAGACAGCAAUUUAUUUGGGGUAAUCAAUCAAUUAAAUUAAAUGGUGAAAGUCUUGUUUUCCCAAACAGGAUAAAAAGUGACAUUUUUUUUUAUUAAUUAUAUCAUAGAUAAACAAGGUAAUAUCUCCC